UUCAAUUACACAUAUACCAAAUUUCUUUUCCAAAGUGUUAAGUUGAAGGUACAGUGCCACAUAAAUAACUGGUAGAAAGAUCAUCACAUAUUUAACUCUCAGGGCAGAACUUAGUUUGUCAUCCAUUUCUAAGUACUUUAUUGAUUUUUCAUUGAAGGCAUGGCUACAGCUCCAAUUAGACCCCUAGCCUGGGAACCUCCAUAUGCCGAGGGAGCAGCCCAAGAAAUGGCAAAAAGACAAAAAAAAAAAAAAAAAAGAAAGAAAGAAAUGUAAAAUUUAAUUUACCCUAUAUCAAAAUUAAGCCCAGCCAAGUCUUCCCCUGCUGAUUCUGCCAAGCUAAUUGCCUUGGUGUUUCACUGGAUACUAGGUAGGGGUGGUGGGAGUUGCAUUCAUCCAUUCAUAGGCAUCACUAUUUAUAUACAGUAUAGCAUAGAAUAAAGCAUAAAUUUGCCUCAAACUGAAAACCAACACAUUAGCUAUGGGAUUCUUUAACCAGAAAGACAAAAGACAACACUAUUGCAUUUAAGAAUAUAUGGGUAAAAUAAAUGUAGGGUGAGAUGGGAAGAAAUUAUUUUAAGAUGACUGUAUUUUAACACCUCCUGCCUAAUAAAUUCAUGAUUGAAGAGACAAAUGAGAUAUGGAAUAUAGUCUUUCCAAUGUUCCACUAUGAUGUUAAUCAUUCUUCAUGUUCAAAGAGGCAGUGAGGAAUAAUUUAUGAGUGGCUACAAUUAUAAAUAAUGUCCUAUAUAAGCACCCAAGGGUAGAGAUGAGGAUGGAGUUAUGGGUCUUAAGGAGAACUUGGCCUUCAUUCUUUGUUGUUUAUCAUUUAUGAUUUCUGUUGCUCCUAGGGACUCACCUACAGUUAUCACUAUGAAGAAUAGAAUAUCGUUAUUUCUAGAACAUGAAUUUACACAAGUGCCAAUUACAUGAACAAGAACACUCCAUUAAAAUUUUUCUGAAACACUGUAUCUCAAGAGAGCAGGUAUAUUUGUGGGCUACCACAAUGCAGUCUUGCUCCAUUCAGCAUAAGCUUAACAUAUUAGUGGAGAUGUAGAAUUUAAGAUUAGCCUAAAACCGUGUGAGGUUUCCAGUGCUGUCUGUCUUUAAUGCAUGCAUUAGUUUGCCCAACAAGUGACUGACCUCUGUUUAAGUAGCCACAGUGAUCUUGGAGCAGUUUAUUAUAUCUUUGGUCACUCUUUUUGUCCUCUGGGCUCCUAGAAUUGAAUACAAUACUCCAAAUUGGUUCUGUCCCACAAAACAUGAGUGAAAUGAGGAACUGGAUAGGUAGGUGACAAAUAGCAUACAUUAUUUGGAUGUAUAACUCACUCCCGCGGUAGACUACCAAGUAAACGAAGCAGUUCGAUAAAUUUAACCUUAAUGUAUUUAUUUUUUUAAAUCUUUGAGAAUAUUUUCAUAAAGUAAGUUCUGUUAAUGUUACUAGAACUACAGUAGCAAGUUUUAGGAGCCAUUUGAGAUGCAGGAUGUUACAUGUAAAACUAUAAAAUCAUACACAUGAGCGUAUGAUUAGUGUACCUAUGUAGUAAUAAACUUAAAUCCCAGUGUAAGUUAUUCUUACUUUAUAACAGAGUUUCUUUUCCCCCAAGGUAUAAAGUGUGAGUAUAUUUAAUACUUGCUGCAUUAAUUGACCAAACACCAUUCAGUGAUAAUUUCAGAUACCAAAAAGCAUUAUGGUGAAGACCAUGUUGAACCAAAUAUCCGGCUAGCACUUUGAAGUUACUAUGAUGAUAUAUGCAUUCAUGAAAUUGAGCUUUAUUUACCUUUUUUCUCAUUAAGGACUAGAAUAGAAAUGGGCAAGCUAUAGCAAGCAUCGCCUGUGUUUUAUAGUUGGGGAGUUAGAGUGUUGUUUAUAUUUUUAAAGGGUUAUUGUGGGGGUGGGGGACUGAAAUGUGAAUGAGACUGAAAGUCUAAAAUACUUCCUAUAUGGCCCCCUUUACAAAAAACAUUUUGUGGAUUUGUGGACUAGAGCAACUAAAGGAAAUAUUUUGAACUUAAAAACAAAUAAUGCCAAAAUGUAAACUGUUAAGCCAGAGAGCAUGCUGAUCAUCAAGGGAUCAUUGGUACAUAGAAAAGAGGGAAGGCAUUUUAGCUAAGAAGUCAGAAUACAAAUACUGAGAACUGACUAAAUGGAUAGGCAAGAAAUUAUAUACCCUCUGUCAGAGCCAAUGGAUGGAAUAAUACACUGUCAUUAAGAUGAAUUUCUAAUAAUAUUUAAAAUGUUUUGAUACAUUUAAAAUAAAUAGUAAAAGGCUUUACACCCCGUCUCUUAGUGACACAGGAAGGAAAUGGAAGUAAAGAUAAAUCACAGCACCUAACAAAUUAUAAACAAGUUAACUUUGCUUUCAUGCAUACUUCUCUCGUGGCCGCUUUACUUAAUUUUUUACCUACUGAGUGCUAGGUAGGUGGUUGUACACUGCCCUCGCUCAGUGGGUUAAGGAUCUGGCAUUGCCAUGAGCUGUGGUGUAGGUCGCAGAUGUGGCUCAGAUCCCACGUUUCUGUGGCUCUGGUGUAAGCCGGUGGCUACAGCUCCAAUUCCACCCCUAGCCUGGGAACUUCCAUAUGCCGAAGGUGCAGCCCUAGAAAAAGGCAAAAAGACAUAAAUAAAAUAAAAUAAUAAAUAAAAGGGAAAAACUAAUGGAAUUGUCAGCUAAGGCCUGAGUCAUGCUCAGUAUUCAAAAAGAAUAAACUAGUGGGAUAAGUGACAUUAAUAAAUGGAAAAGGGUUAUCUGCCUCCUCUCAGGGAAAAUUUAACCUUUAAUUAUGAUAUCACUAGGUAAAAGUUUUAAUGCAGUGGAAUCACAAAUAAGCAUACUUCUUAUUCCUUGACAGACUACUAUAAAAUUAAUCAGGAAUAAGCAUUGUGAAGAUUUUCUUUUAAGAUGGUAGACUCUUCAUUGAGGGGUUGGCAUUUUAUAAAGCAAUUAUCAAAGCUAUAUUGGACUUAAUUUGGUCACCAGUCCAUAUACAUUCCCAUGUGUACUUACCCUCUUUGGGCAACCUUUGACACAUCGUAAUAUUUAAAACAGGGCUUUGUACUUAGUCACAUCUUCCAAUGAGAAGUUACUUCAUGAGGCAUUAAUAAGUAAUACAUAUUUUACUAACAGUUUCACAUGGGAGACUGAGUAGGGGGUUUGAAUCUCAAGAAUUAAUCCUAUUUUGCUCACAAAAUCCUGUGCACUUAACUCCUAAGUGUUUUUUGUUUUUUGUUUUUUUUUAAUGUGGUAAAAAAAAUACAUGAGGUUUAUCUUACCAAAUUUUAUUUUUAUUUUUUGGCCACCACACAGCAUAUGGAGUUCCCAGGCCAGGGAUCAUAUCUGAAUAGUAUUGCUUCUCCUAAGCUUUUGUUUCUAACUUUCCAAUUACCCAGUCUUACAAAAAAUGUCCUCUUAGUCUUCUUUCUUAUGCAGAACAAUUUAGCAGUUGUGGGCAGUAUACAGACUUAGCCAAGUAUAUUCUUAUACUUGCUUAGAAAGUAGCAAAUAUGAUCAGAUUGUAUGUUCUACUUGGUGGCACGGAUCCUUGGUGCAAGGUCCCACUGGGUAUAGAACUGAUAGUAAAGAGAAUCCUGUAGCUGCCUGUCAAAGAGGGACAUAGCUAUAAAAUAACAUCUAACAUCUUUGGAAAGUGCCUCAAUGGAUUUAGCCAACUAAUUUUACCAGGUAUUUGGCAAAGUGUGACUGCUGUACAGGUUGUUUUUUAAGACUUGAUUCAGGUCCUGGGCCUGCAAAGGCUUGAUUUGCUCUAGCACUUUCUCUAAUCCCAGGCCCUUAGUCAACAUUGAUUCAAGGUAAUGGAGGAAAACUGGUUUAAUAAACUUGGAAUACAUUAUCUCUGAGCUUGAACAUCUGUAAGUAACAAAGCAUUUGUAAAAUAAGUUUUCCUUAUAGAAAGGCCACAUUUCCCCUCAGCACAUCUUAUUUGGCUGUGUUUCUUCUCUUUAAUACAAUAGAACUUCAAGAACCAAAGCCAGUUGGCACUUUUGCACAAAUUAACUGUUUGGUGGCUCUGUGCCUCCAUAUUGUCUAUUUAACUUGUAACUAACCAAAGCAAUGAUAGCAAGCAACCCUAAUCUAUUUAUUUGCCUUUAAGCCGGUGGUUCUUAAAAUGGUGAUUAUGGGUCAAUCUGCAGAAUUACCUGUGGUAUCUAUCUGGAGUGCAGGUUUUUGACAAACCUACCAAGUUCUAAUCGUUCCUAUAUUUAUUUUUAUAAGAUAACUACAGUCAAAAAUAACAUUACCUUUUUUUUUUUUUUUUUGGUCUUUUUGCCAUUUCUUGGGCUGCUCCCUCGGCAUAUGGAGAUUCCCAGGCUAGGGGUCGAAUCGGAGCUAUAGCCACUGGCCUACGCCAGAGCCACAGCAAUGCAGGAUCCGAGCCGCGUCUGCGACCUACGCUACAGCUCACAGCAACGCCAGAUCCUUAACCCACUGAGCAAGGGCAGGCAUCGAACCCGAAACCUCAUGGUUCCUAGUCGGAUUUGUUAACCACUGCGCCAUGACGGGAACUCCAACGUUACCUUUUUUUGAGAUACUAAAACUGCAAUGAAGAGAUUGUCUCCUUUUAAAAUACAAUUAUGAGAAAUGAUACCAUAAAGUACACUCCUUAUUUAUGGGAUGUUUUAUGAAACCCAGUUCAAUAUUUUAACGAGACUUUAGGAAUGCAAAUAUUAUUAGAGUAUAGCAUGAAGAGCUAUGAAGAAGAGUGUGUUUGAGCAAUCAUGGUUUCUUGAGGGAGCUAUGAAUUUACAGUGCAGUCCUACAAGAAGGGACAGAAAAUAGCUAUUGUGAACUGCACACUGAUGAAUUGCAUCACAUUUGAGAUUUCCUGGUUCCUUUCUUCCUGUUGAACGUGAAAACUACAUGGUUAAAGGUAAAUUGAUGUAAAAAAAGACACGAGUUCCCAUUGUGGCUCAGCGGAAGUGAAUCUGACUAGCAACCCUGAGGAUUCAUGUUCAAUCCCUGGCCUUGCUCAUUGGGUUAAGGAUGGGUGUUUCCGUGGCUUGUGGUGUAGGUUGCAGACCUGGCUUGAAUCUAUUGUGGCUGUGGCUGACAGCUACAGCUCCAAUUUUGACCCCUAGCCUGGCAACUAACUUCCAUAUGCUGCGGGUUCGACCCUAAAAAG
rnacentral:lncRNA from 1 species